rnacentral:hammerhead_ribozyme from 1 species
AUCCAGCUGACGAGUCCCAAAUGGGGGAGAAACGCGCCUCCUGGAU